rnacentral:rRNA from 1 species
AACCAAUGGCCUCCUGAACGUGCGUUGCACUCUUGGGAUUUCCUGAGAGUAUGUCUCUGCUUCAGUGCUUAAC